rnacentral:rRNA from 1 species
AUUGAACGCUGGCGGCAGGCCUAACACAUGCAAGUCGAGCGAUCGGCGGACGGGUGAGUAAUGUCUGGGGUCUGCCCGAUUGCGGGGGAUGACUACUGUUAACGGUGGCUAAUACCGCCUACUAUCGGUUAACCACUAUGGGAUUAGCUCGUAGGUAAGGUAAUGGCUUACCUCGGCGACGUACCCUAGCUGGUCUGAGAGGAUGAUCAGCCAAACGGGGAAUGAGACACGGCCCAGACUCCUACGGAGUCAGCAGUGGGAAAUAUGGCAAAAUGGGCGCAAGCCUGAUGAGGCAAUGCCGGGUAGAGGAAGCAGGCCCUAGGGUGGUAAAGUACUUUCAGUGGGGAGGCGUUACCGAAAGAAGAAGCAACGGCUAACUCCGUGCCAGCAGCCGCGGUAAUAC